AUUGAACGCUAGCGGGAUGCCUUACACAUGCAAGUCGAACGGAGUGGCGAACGGGUGAGUAAUGUAUCGGUACGUGCCCAGUAGCGGGGGAUAACUACGCGAAAGCGUAGCUAAGACCGCAUACUUUUGCAGCGGCCGAUAUCGGAUUAGCUAGUGGGUGGGGUAACGGCUCACCAAGGCGACGACCCGUAGCUGGUUUGAGAGGACGACCAGCCAAACUGGGACUGAGACACGGCCCAGACUCCUACGGGAGGCAGCAGUGGGGAAUUUUGGACAAUGGGGGAAAGCCUGAUCCAGCCAUCCCGCGUGUGGGAUGAAGGCCUUAGGGUUGUAAAGCACUUUUGGCAGGAAAGCGGUACCUGCAGAAGAAGCACCGGCUAACUACGUGCCAGCAGCCGCGGUAAUUC
rnacentral:rRNA from 1 species